GAUGAAGAACGCAGCGAAAUGCGAUAAGUAAUGUGAAUUGCAGAAUUCAGUGAAUCAUCGAAUCUUUGAACGCACAUUGCGCCCGCCAGUAUUCUGGCGAGCAUGCCUGUUCGAGCGUCAUUUCAACCAUCAAGCCCCCGGCUUGUGUUGGAGCCCUGCGGCUGCCGCAGCCUCCCAAAACCAGUGGCGGGCUCGCUAUCACACCGAGUGCAGUAGUUUACUCUUCGCUCAGGGCGUGUGGCGGGUGCUAGCCGUGAAACCCCCAACUUCUCAAGGUUGACCUCGGAUCAGGUAGGAAUACCCGCUGAACUUAAGCAUAUCAAUAAGCGGAGGA
rnacentral:misc_RNA from 1 species